AUUUCCCCAAUGGGUUCUCCGGAUUUCUGGAGACUUGUAGGGGUUGUGGGAUUUUUGAUGUGUCGUCUCCGGACGGGCGGUGCAGGGUAGUCGAGUUAGACUUGGUGGAAUUCCGUCGAUAGGAGUUCCGUCGAGUCUGGUCGGCUGUGUGUUGGACGGUGCAGGGUAGACUGCUUGGACAUGGUCGGUUCGAGGAUCGAUUCGAGGGCCGGCCUGUCGAUGAUGUGUGAUGUAUGCGGUCUAGGGUAGGCUGGUUUGUCUUGGUUCAAUUUGAUGUCGGCUCCCGUGCAGGCCAGAGUGAAGGGGGGUACAGGGUAGGCAGCUUAGAUUUGGUCGAUCUGGAGGUCGAUUCUCCAGCUGGCGGAUCUGACACUGUCGAAAUGAGAUGCGAGCGGUGUAGGGUAGGCUAGUUUCGUCCUCGCCAGGUUGCGAUUUGGACGAGAUAUGUGGUCUAGGGUAGGCUCUAGGGUAAGUAGAAUUCUAGUUUCGUCGCCGACAGUUUUCUUUGGGUGUAUGGUAGGUACAGGGUAGGCAAAUCUCUCUCGGGCCAGUACUUGUCUGGUGGUCGUGAGUCGAUUUUUUUGUUUU
rnacentral:misc_RNA from 1 species